UUUUUGCUUGAAAUUAAAUUCCAGUUUCAUGACCAUUUCUUCGAAUAAAAUAUUCCUUCUCUUAUCAAUAUACAUACAUAUGUACUAUAAUAUCAAAUAUGUAUCACACGGCUUGGGCAAAUAUUGUUAUUAACGAUAAGCUUACCAUGCUGUAUACUGAAAAUCGCUAUCUUUUGAAUAAUUACGAGCAAUAUACAUUAUCAGAGACACUUGUCGUACCUAUACAGCUAGAUAUUAUGUGUCUGUAACGCGAAUGUAGAACGUGAGAUAUUCAGAUAUGCGAUUAAAAAGUUCUGUCACACCUACAAUUAGUUGUUACACUUUUGUGAGUGAAAACGAAACGGAACGUGGGUGGGAACCAUGGGUCGGUGAUCACGCGAUUUUACCUUGGUUCUAUUCUCAGAGAGUUUAGAAUUAAUUUAACGAAUGGUUCUUACAUUAUAACUGUAAAAAAUGCUUAUACACGAGUUACAAAUAUAUCUGUGAUUAUACAAUCGCGAAUAGAAGCGCGAAUUAUGCAAAUAGUUAUAGAUCCGUUGAUAUUUCUCGGUGUUUAUAUUUACUACUCGUUAAUUUUUCAUUGAUUUAUUAUUGUAAAUAUGUUAUUAUACAGGGCCGUUAUCCGGUACAUUUAUUGAGAAAUUUCAACGAAUUCUACUUUAGAAUUCUACUUUAUUUGAUUUUUUAUAUUGCAAGGCAUUUACGACGCGAGAUAAAUUUGCAGAUUUGCGACAAAAUAAGUUGAAAAUAAAAAGGCAACCCAAAGAAUACAAUGCGUUUACGUACACUGUUCUCUUUAUCUAUUUAAAUUUUCAAUAUCGUAAAAGCGCUGCGCGAGAGUAAUAAAUAUGGGAAUUUUGAAAGAUGUUAAAGUUAACAUGAUUAAAGUAACACUUAAUCAAAAUAAUAUUUAUUCAGAAUGGUGACGUGUUCGAAUGUAAUUACGUGGAAUUUGUAGCAAAUAAAGUAAUUAAGAGGAAGAAAAGACAGUGUUGGUGGUAACGUGCUGUAGUGAAUUCUACGCGAUCCGUCAUUCUAAUUUGCCUUAAUUUCAAUGUAAGAUAUGAAAACAUAUUGGACUUCCUUCUCAUUAGCAUAUGAAAGCAGCCUUUUGUAUGGUACUACGGUUCCGAUAAAUGACUCAGUGUUCACUUACCUCUUUAGGAAAACACGAAAAAAAAAAAAAAAGAUAAAAGGAGAAGAAUGUUUCUACUUAUUCGAAAAGAAAAAAAAUGGUCAAUUCUCUUUUCUGCUCUCUAUUUCUGACACGUUUUAACGUAUCCCCAGACUACCAAUAUAUAUUUUCAAGGUUCUUCGCUAAGAGGAUCAAUAUGUAUCGUCAAUAUCUAUUGACAAACUGAAUUUUCAUCGAGAUACAACGAUUAUUGAUUGAAUGACAAAUUUAUCGAUUGUCUGAGAGCACUUUUAUAAAUCAAAACUACUAACUAACAGUUGCAGUGAUUCCAAGAGAAGUUGUCGAACGAACGUGAACGAUAUUGUACGUAACAGCGAGUAGCGGAGAUAUAAAUCAUGGUAGCCAAAGUGGGAAAUAUUUCAAGGAAAAUUAAUUCGAAUGUUUGAUAGGAAUAACUAAAGGAUUUCCUGGUUGGGAAAGGAACCGUGAAACUCUUCGAUCGACUAGAGAAACUUCGGUCUCAAGGAUAAAGUUGCGAAGCAUAUUAACGUUAGACAGCUGCAUGAGUCAUUUCGUAGGAUUGCUCUGCAGAUUCCAAGUAAAAUGCAUUCGUUUUAUCUAGGAUGGAAAGUAAUGGAGGAAAUUUAAAAGAAAGUUUAAUUUCUCGUAUACUGACAAUUUUCUACGGUUUCAAUCUAAUCGUAGAAACUUUCGUCCGCGGAAUCUUCACAACUACUAUCUUUAUUUGUAAAAAUAAGUUUCUUAAUCUUAUCCAGUUGCAUUGUUCCGCGAAUUUGCAACAUUCCGCUAAUUUUGAUAGAUUUUCACAAUAAUUAUCUUUCCCGUUAUCUUAGUAGGCGUUGUUCUUGCGAUUACAUUUCAAGCAAUAAUCUAAUAUAUAAUUCAAUUUGAAAGAUGUUCCGGUAAACCGAAAAAGGUUUAUCAUAAUUAACGUCGAAAGGUAGGUAGAAUCAAUUUUUUCCCGUAGAAAUUCGCCGACCUACUCGGGCAGAAAGUUAUUCCAAGAAAAAGAUGCUUCUGAACAAUGCGAGUAAAAUGGUUCCGGUGGAAAUGGUUGGAAAAUCGUGCGCUGCGACGAACGUUUCGCGGAAAGAUGGAAAGUAAUUUGGUAAAUCGAAGGUGGCGUGUCUAAAAGUCGAUUUUUCGAUCGGAAGUUGCGCGAGUGAGGGAGACGAGAAAAUUUCUCGAUGGUUCUUCGUGGUUUGCUGGCACCAGCGGCGGCGCGAUGGACACGAAAUAAAACAACGAAAAGGGGUCAAGAGAAGCAGGCAGCCGGACAAUUAGGAUUAUCACGUUAUGGACCGCAGGUGAUGAGUGUGUUGUGUUUAUGCACCACGAUACAACAGACGGGUCAGAACAACAAUCAGGCUAGCAAGAUACUUCCGAGCACACCGCCGAUCUCAUCUGAGGAAGAGAGGAUAAACUCGUCGCAGGAAAUACCCACCGACGAACUGGCUCUAUUAGCUAAGCUGGAGGAAGCCAAUAGGCUUAUCGAAUCGGAUGCAAAGUCGUUGAACUCGCUCCAAAGCAAUCACAGUAGAAAAGGUUCCGACACAUCUCAGGUGUCCGUGGCGUCGGGGGGCAGCGGAGGAAACAGCGAUGCCGCACCCCGACGCCACAAUUCAGCUGAUGGUGAAGAGAAUACGUGGACCCUAUGGGGUCACAUCGUCGCUGAUUGGGAUUAUCAUUGGAAGAAGAGGAAAGAGUUCGUCAAAGAAUUAGUACGUCAAGGAAUACCUCAUCAUUUUAGAGGUAUUGUUUGGCAACUAUUAAGUGGUGCUCAUGACUCUCCUGUGAAAAAGCAAUUUGCUGAGUAUAUCAAGGCUACGUCAGCAUGCGAAAGGAUAAUCAGGAGGGAUAUAGCCAGAACGUAUCCUGAGCAUGAUUUCUUUAAGGAGAAAGACGGACUUGGUCAGGAGAGUCUAUUUAACGUUAUGAAAGCGUAUAGUCUUCAUGAUCGUGAAGUGGGAUACUGUCAAGGUUCGGGAUUUAUUGUAGGAUUACUCCUUAUGCAGCAAAUGCCAGAAGAAGAAGCUUUCGCUGUACUGGUAGCGCUUAUGCAAGAGUAUCGUUUGCGAGACAUGUUCAAGCCGAGUAUGGCUGAAUUAGGGGUGUGCAUGUAUCAGCUAGAACAUUUAGUUGCUGACACUCAUCCCGAGUUACACGCUCAUUUUACGGCUCAAGGUUUUCACACGUCAAUGUACGCGUCGUCUUGGUUUCUUACGCUUUUUACUACAGCGCUCAGCCUACCGCUGGCCUGCCGCAUUUUUGACGUGUUUCUGUCCGAAGGCAUGGAAAUUAUUUUCAAAGUUGCACUGGCCAUGUUGCAUUUAGGCAAGGAAGAUUUGUUAAGCUUGGACAUGGAAGGCAUGUUGAAGUUCUUUCAGAAACAGCUACCUGGAAGAGGCGAAAAAGAUCCAGAUGGUCUCAUGAAUCUUGCCUAUGGUAUGAAAAUAAAUCCGAAAAGAAUGAAAAAACUCGAGAAAGAUUAUACUGUGCUGAAAAUGAAAGAGCAAGAGGAGAUGGUUGAACUUCGUAGGCUUAGAGCCGAAAAUAGGUUACUUAGGCAAAGAACUGAACUUCUGGAAGCUGAGUCCGCGGAGUUGGCAGAUAGAUUAGUCAGAGGACAAGUUUCUCGAGCAGAAGAGGAGGAAACUGCUUUCGUUGUACAAAGAGAAUUAGCAGCUCUUCGACACACGCAUCUUGAAACCAGUCAUCAGCUUGAGCAAGCUCACGAAGAACUAAGAUCAUUGUCGCUUCUGCUAGAAGAAAAUGUGACAUCGAAACAAUCCUCUUUGGAUGAAAUUUUGUCAAAGCAGGAAGCAUUGUCACAAAAAGAGGAAAUGAUACAGUGUUUGCAAGAGGAAUUGGUAAGAGUUCGACUACACGAAGCAGAGAACGACGCAACGAUAAGGGAACUUAGAGCAAGAAUACAAGAAUUGGAACAGGAUAAAAAGACGUUGCGUGAAUCAACGCCGGAUAAUUCUGUUGCUCAUUUACAAGAAGAACUGAUUGCUGUGAAACUAAGAGAAGCAGAAGCUAAUCUUUCUUUAAAGGAUCUUCGGCAAAGAGUAGUGGAAUUGAGCAGUGCCUGGCAAAGGCAUCUGCAAGAACAUCGUUCAGCUCAAAAUCAACCUGCAAGCGAUUCCACGCCGAAGAAACUUUUGUUUUGGGAGAACCGAGGACAUGAAGUGCAAAAGUUCGAAGAGGAUUUAAUGACAACCAGAAUUCGAGAGAUGGAAGCUUUGACAGAAGUGAAGGAGCUUAGACUUAAGGUCAUGGAGCUUGAGACUCAAGUGCAAGUUGCCACGAAUCAACUUCGUCGACAAGACGAAGGAGGGAAAUUAAUUAAAGAGGAAUUAGAGGCUGCCUUAGCUAGGGAGAAGGAACUUACUGCCAAACUACGGGAGCAACAACAUAAAUAUUCCGAUUUGGAGUCUAAGAUGAAGGAUGAAGCUAUGAUGGCUAGGAUACGCGAUGCAGAGCAUGCGCAGCAAGUGGCAGAACUCACCCAGAAAAUAUCUCUUCUUGAAUUAAAAAACGAAGAGAUGCACGCGGAAGGUGAGCUUAGAAAUAAUUUAGAUGACAGUGAGAGAGUCAGAGAAUUGCAAGAUAAAGUUGCAGAAUUAAAAGCUGAGGUCAUGAGGCUAGAAAGUUGGAAGCAACGUUGGACAGGCAAUGGUGGGCAAAAUGUAAGAAGUUUCAGUGUUGACACUGAAAGCGAGCUGGACGAGCGGGAUCUCAGAAUUUGUUUACAGGAUCAUAUCAAUGCAACUACACAGAACUCACCAGAGAUUAUUGAAAGUGAAAGUGAAACCGAACGAGAUAAUCGGGAGUACAGUUGUAAAACUUAAAUAGCCCGGAUAGCUCGUUCCUUAUAGCGAGGACGUGAUAAUUACUUCCAACCUUAAUCGAACCCUUAACGAUCCAUUCUCAUUCCUGCAAUGAUUGUACGUGUUUUCAGACGUGUUUUAAGAAUUCAAGUAAAUAGCCUAAACGUAUUUACUUUUAAGAUAAAGGGAGCAGCUGAUCGAUAAAGAGAGAAACU